rnacentral:rRNA from 1 species
AUGCCGGGUGUUCCCAGGGGACUAGCUGAGCAUCGUUUGCGAGUCGACCCAAAAGUGAAACCAGUCAAAGAACAUCUUCGACGGUCCGCCAUACAGAAGAGAAAAGCAAUCGGUGAAGAGGUGGCUCGGCUUUUGGCAGCUGACUUUAUCCGAGAGAUUUACCACUCCGAGUGGUUAACCAAUGUUGUCAUGGUCCCAAAGAAGGACGGCUCACUUCGCAUGUGCAUUGAUUUCAAGCAUAUCAAUCGGGCCUGCCCGAAAGAUCACUUUCCUCUCCCUCGCAUCGACCAGAUAGUCGACUCGACUGCAGGGUGCGAGCGUUUGUCCUUUUUGGACGCCUACUCCGGGUACCACCAGAUCCGUCUGUACGGACCCGACGAGAUAAAGACAACUUUUAUCACCCCGUUUGGGUGCUUCUGUUAUGUCACAAUGCCAUUCGGUUUGAAGAACGCUGGAGCCACAUUCAUGCGGAUGAUUCAGAAGUGCCUGCUCACUCAGAUCAGUCGGAAUGUGGAAGCAUACAUGGAUGACAUUGUGGUCAAGUCACGUAAAGGUUCCGACCUACUGACUAUCCUUGCUGAAACCUUUGCCAGCCUCAGAAGGUAUGAUACCAAGUUCAAUCCAUCAAAGUGCACGUUUGGAGUUCCGGGCGGAAAAUUACUCGGUUUCCUCGUUUCCGAACGAGGGAUCGACGCUAACCCAAAGAAAGUGGGUGCUAUACUCCGAAUGAAACGCCCUAUGCGUGUGCAUGAUGUCUAG